rnacentral:rRNA from 1 species
CUACGGGAGGCUGCAAUGAGGAAUAUUGCACAAUGGGGGGAACCCUGAUGCAGCAACGCCGCGUGGAGGAUGACGCAUUUCGGUGUGUAAACUCCUUUUAUAUGUCAAGAAAAUGACGGUAGCAUAUGAAUAAGCACCGGCUAACUCCGUGCCAGCAGCCGCGGUAAUACGGAGGGUGCAAGCGUUACUCGGAAUCACUGGGCGUAAAGGACGCGUAGGCGGGUUGGGAAGUCAGGUGUGAAAUCCUACAGCUUAACUGUAGAACUGCACUUGAAACUUCUAAUCUAGAGUAUGGGAGGGGGAGAUGGAAUUAGUGGUGUAGGGGUAAAAUCCGUAGAUAUCACUAGGAAUACCUAAAGCGAAGGCGAUCUCCUGGAACAUUACUGACGCUAAGGCGUGAAAGCGUGGGGAGCAAACAGGAUUAGAUACCCCAGUAGUC